rnacentral:rRNA from 1 species
CAGUAACGGCGAGUGAAGCGGUAACAGCUCAAAUUUGAAAUCUGGCUCCUCGGGGCCCGAAUUGUAAUUUGUAGAAGAUGCUUUGGGUCUGGGCCUGGCCUAAGUUCCUUGGAACAGGACGUCGUAGAGGGUGAGAAUCCCGUAUGCGGCUGGCGCCCGUGCCCGUGUAAAGCUCUUUCAACGAGUCGAGUUGUUUGGGAAUGCAGCUCUAAAUGGGUGGUAAAUUUCAUCUAAAGCUAAAUAUUGGCCAGAGACCGAUAGCGCACAAGUAGAGUGAUCGAAAGAUGAAAAGCACUUUGGAAAGAGAGUUAAACAGUACGUGAAAUUGUUGAAAGGGAAGCGCUGGCAACCAGACUUGGGCGCUGUUGAUCCGCUAGGGUUCUCCCUAGGGCACUCGGCAGCGCGCAGGCCAGCAUCGGUUUGGGGGGUUGGAGAAUGGCUGGUGGAAUGUGGCUGUCUUCGGGCAGUGUUAUAGCCACCGGUGGCAUGCAGCCUCCCCGGACCGAGGACCGCGCUUCGGCUAGGAUGCUGGCGUAAUGGUUGUCAGCGACCCGUCUUGAAACACGGACCAAGGAGUCUAACAUCUAUGCGAGUGUUUGGGUGUUAAACCCAUACGCGGAAUGAGAGUGAACGUAGGUGAGAACCCGUAAGGGUGCAUCAUCGACCGAUCCUGAUGUCUUCGGAUGGAUUUGAGUAAGAGCAUAGCUGUUGGGACCCGAAAGAUGGUGAACUAUGCCUGAAUAGGGUGAAGCCAGAGGAAACUCUGGUGGAGGCUCGCACCGGUUCUGACGUGCAAAUCGAUCGUCAA